CCUCUCAGCAAUGAUGAAAUUAUCGCGUACCUCCUGGCGGGUCUCGGAUCGGACUACGAUUCGUUUGUGACCUCCAUGACGACCAAGACCGAAGCCCUCUCCCUCGACGACGUCUACGCCUACCUCCUCGCCUUUGAGU